UACAGAGGCCCCAAGCGUUACUGAGAAUCACUGGGUUUAAAGGGUGCGUAGGUGGCGCGUUAAGUCCGUUGUGAAAUCCCUUGGCUCAACCAAGGAAAUGCUUCGGAUACUGGCGUGCUUGAGGCUAGUAAGGGUCACUGGAACUGACGGUGGUGCGGUGAAAUGCGUAGAUAUCGGGAGGAACACCUGUGGCGAAAGCGGCUCACUGGACCACUACUGACGCUGAUGCGCGAAAGCUAGGGGAGCAAACAGG
rnacentral:rRNA from 1 species